UACUCCUACGGGAGGCAGCAGUGGGGAAUAUUGCACAAUGGGCGCAAGCCUGAUGCAGCGACGCCGCGUGAGGGAUGAAGGCCCUCGGGUUGUAAACCUCUUUCGGCAGGGACGAAGCGAUCGUGACGGUACCUGCAGAAGAAGCCUCGGCUAACUACGUGCCAGCAGCCGCGGUAAU
rnacentral:rRNA from 1 species